rnacentral:rRNA from 1 species
UAGUCCACGCCGUAAACGAUGAUUACUAGAUGUCUGGAGUGUUAACCCUCCGGGUAUCAAAGCUCACGCAUUAAGUAAUCCGCCUGGGGAGUACGGUCGCAAGGCUAAAACUCAAAGGAAUUGACGGGGGCCCGCACAAGCGGUGGAGUAUGUGGUUUAAUUCGAAGCAACGCGCAGAACCUUACCUGGCCUUGACAUCUCGUGCCAACCAUAGAGAUAUGGUUUUCUCUUCGGAGACGCGAUGACAGGUGCUGCAUGGCUGUCGUCAGCUCGUGUCGUAAGAUGUUCGGUUAAGUCCGGCAACGAGCGCAACCCCUAUUGCUAGUUACUAACAUUAAGUUGAGGACUCUAGUGAGACUGCCGGUGUUAAACCGGAGGAAGGCGGGGAUGACGUCAAGUCCUCAUGGCCCUUACGGCCAGGGCUACACACGUACUACAAUGGUAGAAACAAAGGGUUGCGAGACCGCGAGGUGGAGCUAAUCCCAAAAACACUAUCUCAGUCCGGAUUGCACU